rnacentral:misc_RNA from 1 species
CGCAAGCGACAGACACAAAAAGAAGUCUUGAGCAGCGUAGUCGCCCCCCCCCUCUCCCCUCCCUCCCGCCCCCGGCCACGCAGCACUCACAACCGCAUACUUCGUGUUCGUUGUAGACGACGGCACUCACCGCUCUCUCAGCAUGAACAGAGACGGCGUAGAGGAUGGCAUCUACGUCAACUUCUUCGGCUUUGAUGGGAAGGCCGCAAUGCUGGCGUGCGACAUGUACGGCAUUCUUCCGGAAAACCUUCUCUACUUGCCCAAAAAUAUGUUUCUCCAGACGGGGGACGAGAGUGAGCAGGUUCUGCUGGUGCGGUACACCAUGUGCGAACGUAGUCGCCAAGGCACCUUUCGCACCUUGCUCGGCGCCAAAUCGAAGCUGAUGGCGGAGGGUAAAGUGGAGGAGCUGUGGAAAGAGCGGUGCCGCACCUUGGCAGACGCGGCGCCGUGCCCACGCUUUACAGAAAAGCAACUGGAAGAGGCCGCCGCGGCACUUGACACAGACAGUGAAAGUGACGAGGAACGACAGGUCGACGAGCGCGGCAUGCGAAAGCCGCCACCGCCGCUGCCGCCUGCGCCACCAUUCGCCUCGGACGGCCCACGCGGCGAGGCAGCUGCAGAGGCCGCCGCCACGGAGAACGACGAAUCGCCCACGCCAGUGACGGACACGCCUUUUGGCAGGGCGCCAGACUCGGAACCGCUGCCGCCGCCGCCCACGCAAGCCUCCUCCGACGCGGGCGGCGAGACACGGAGGGGCUCGGGCACCACAGCUACAAACGACAAUGCCGCGCUCGCUGUCGACGCGAAACGCAUGACGCAGCAGCUGCAGAACGACUGGAAGCAAUACGACGUGGUCAAGUCGCUAGAACUGUCUCGGACACACAAGCUCUGCUCACAGCCGCCAAAUAUCCCGCAAGCGUACUUUCCGCGCUUGCUCGAGACGCUGAACAUGGAGGAGAAAGAACUUGCCGCCGCGCAAAAGGAGCUCUCUCGCUACAGCAAGAAGGCAGCGAGGCGACUACGUGCGAGGCAGCAGGAGCGAUCGAGUGGGCCCUCCGCCCCAGGCCGCAGCACCUCCCUCCCCCCUCUGUCCUCCUCCCCUUUGCAGAACCCCGCCGCCACCCACCUGCACCAGUCUGUGGAGCUGCGGAAUCGUCGCGAGCUGGAUGCCUUACAUCGAGUGGCGCAAGCGCAUCUGCGCUUUUUGAGCGAGCGCUACGAGCAAGGCCGCAGCAUCGACGAGAAAAUGGAGGGGGUGGCGACCCUUGGUACGCUGGAGCACAUGCUGAAGUAUCAAAAGUCUAUCGGCAUAGCUCCCGAGCUCGAGGACCGCAUUCAGACCAGGAUGGUGCGCGAGGAAUCCCGCGCGGCGCUCCAACAGCAGCUACGGGAGUCGGAGUGGGAACGGGCGUAUGCAAUCGAGGAAAAGGCGCAACACGCGAAAGAGGUGCUGGAGCGGGAGCGGGAGAGGACGAAGGGCAUCGCUGCUGAGGCACAGCGGACCCAGCGACUAAUCACAGACUGGAAGCAGGUGGCAGCCCAUCGCCAGCAAGAAACGCACUUGAACAGCGUCCUCCACCGAAGUGCCGUGCGGCAUGCAAAGGCGGACACGUUCAUUGAGACGAAGCGCGCGGCCGCCGGCAUGUCGCGCUACUACCAUGACCAACAAGAGGUACACCGCCGUCAGCUACGCGACACGAUUCGAGACAUGAUGGUCAGCAAGAAAUUUUCGGCAGACGGGGUGGCCGAUGAGGAUGACGACGUCGUCGCAUAAGAAGCGACUCUUCGCCUUCUUUCCACGUGAAAGUGGAAGCAGCGGGUGCACACGAGUCGAUCGGCGCGCAAGCAAGCGCGCUGGCCUAAUCGAGUUUUCCCUGUAUGAGGAGCAUCUUGCGCAGGCUUUUCUACCUCUUAUGUGUUUCCCCCUUUUCCUUUGCGCACGCCGCUCAUGUAUGCUAUGACAUUGUUUCUGGUUGGAAUACUGAAAUCAAUUCGAAAUGUGAUGAGCUUCGACCUCACCUUCUCUCCGUCUUCGCUCGCCGCAUUGCUAUGGGUGGUGGUGGCGGUGGCGGUGGUUUCAGGCACACCGAGGACAGAAGUUUUGAAGAUGAUAAAUGGGGCAUUUGUGCAGCCCUCUGGGUGUGUUUUUUUGUUUGUUUCGUUUUUUAUCCGGGCGCGCGUGUGUGUGCGUGUUGUUCCUGACAUGCAUGAGCAUGCCUUUCCUUCUCUCUCCCUUUUCUGGUUGUGGUGGUGUUAACUUCUUCCUCCUCCUCUCACCACCACUAUCACCACCCCGUUUUGUCGCCCGUUUCUGGUGAGCUGAUUCUUAGCUUAUCCGGAUGCGCUUCAUGUAAAGCACGGAGGUGUGUGUUGUGCACGUAUUCGCCUCGGUGUCCUUGGGAGAUGUGUGCCAUCGCGUGCUAUCCUUUUCCAACGUCACUACAGACGUGGGCCCCCAAGAAAAGGACUAGGAAAGAGAGCGACGCCUUAGUGUGGUUGUGCUGGGCGAACCAGCGUCUCCCAGCGUAGCUUCAUGCACAACGAGACCUGCUCCUGUGUGAAAAUGCUGUCUCUUCUGCGACGACUGCGCAUCGUCACCAAAACG